CCAAUAGUAGAAAGACAGACAAAAUUUCCACCUCACAUGAGACAACAAAAGGUUAUUCACCAUCGAGUUAGGAUCAACACGUAACAAUCCGACAAAGGCGAUCUAUUGCCAGAUGAAUCGAACAUUUGGUACAAGCAAACCAUAGCGAACAUCAAAAACAUCAAUAAUAGAAACAUAAAAAACAAGUUUAUCGAUUCAAGCAGUCAAUAGCAGGACAACAGUAAGCGGAAAACAUGAUGCAGGUUGAUGAAAGAAGACACAAUUCCCACAAAGAUUGAAGCUUUGAGGCAAACUAACAUUAACAAUCACAGGAUGGCCAACAUGAUGAUAUUACCAGAUGCAAUUCCCACAAAGAUCAAAGCUUUGAGGCAAACUAACAUUAACAAUCACAGUUCCACAAAGAUUAAAGCUUCGAGGCAAACUAACAUUAACAAUCACAGGACCACCAACAUGAUGUUAUAAUCAGAUGCAAUUCCUACAAAGAUCAAAGCUUUGGGGCAAAACAACAUUAACAAUCACAGGAUGACAAACAUGAUGAUGCAAUUAGGCCUAAAAUCACACACGAUGCUCGAAAAGAAAAGAAAUCGGAUACCAAAUAUAUCUUCAUAUUUAAUUUGCUGGAGAAGAUUACGAGAUUUACGACAUGGAAUCUCACCGUA
rnacentral:lncRNA from 1 species